AUUAAACGCUGGCGGCAUGCCUUACACAUGCAAGUCGAACGGCAGCACGGGGGCAACCCUGGUGGCGAGUGGCGAACGGGCGAGUAAAGCAUCGGAACGUGCCCUGGAGUGGGGGAUAACGUAGCGAAAGUUACGCUAAUACCGCAUAUUCUGUGAGCAGGAAAGCAGGGGAUCGCAAGACCUUGCGCUCUGGGAGCGGCCGAUGUCGGAUUAGCUAGUUGGUGGGGUAAAGGCCUACCAAGGCGACGAUCCGUAGCGGGUCUGAGAGGAUGAUCCGCCACACUGGGACUGAGACACGGCCCAGACUCCUACGGGAGGCAGCAGUGGGGAAUUUUGGGACAAUGGGCGAAAGCCUGAUCCAGCCAUGCCGCGUGAGUGAAGAAGGCCUCGG
rnacentral:rRNA from 1 species